GAGUUUGAUCCUGGCUCAGAUUGAACGCUGGCGGCACGCCUUACACAUGCAAGUCGAGCGGUCAAAAUGAGGGACUUGCUCCCGAAAGACGAGCGGCGGACGGGUGAGUAACGCGCGGGAACGCGCCCUUUGGCGGGGGACAACCUUGGGAAACCAGGGCUAAUACCGCAUAAUCUCUACGGGUAAAGCGGGGGAUCUUCGGACCUCGCGCCAUUGGAGCGCCCGUGUCCGAUUAGUUUGACGGCGGGUAACAGCCCACCGUGCUACAAUCGGAGCUGGUCUGAGAGGAUGAUCAGCCACACCGGGCUGAGGCACGCCCGGCUCCUACGGGAGGAGCAGUGGGGAUAUUGGACAUGGGGCAACCCUGAUCCAGCGAUGCGCGUGUGUGAAGAAGCCUUCGGUUGUAAAGACUUUCGCAGGGGAGAACUUCGCCUCUAACAUAGCGCGCACUGACGGACCCCGAGAAGAAGCGCCGCUAACUCCGUGCCGCAGCCGCG
rnacentral:rRNA from 1 species